GCGAAGGUGGCGGAAUGGGCAGACGCACUGGAUUUAGGUUCCAGCGCCGCGAGGCUUGUGGGUUCGAGUCCCACCCUUCGCACCA
rnacentral:tRNA from 1 species